rnacentral:rRNA from 1 species
UCUCUGUAGGUGAACCUGCGGAGGGAUCAUUACACAAAUAUGAAGGCGGGCUGGAACCUCUCGGGGUUACAGCCUUGCUGAAUUAUUCACCCUUGUCUUUUGCGUACUUCUUGUUUCCUUGGUGGGUUCGCCCACCACUAGGACAAACAUAAACCUUUUGUAAUUGCAAUCAGCGUCAGUAACAAAUUAAUAAUUACAACUUUCAACAACGGAUCUCUUGGUUCUGGCAUCGAUGAAGAACGCAGCGAAAUGCGAUAAGUAGUGUGAAUUGCAGAAUUCAGUGAAUCAUCGAAUCUUUGAACGCACAUUGCGCCCUUUGGUAUUCCAAAGGGCAUGCCUGUUCGAGCGUCAUUUGUACCCUCAAGCUUUGCUUGGUGUUGGGCGUCUUGUCUCUAGCUUUGCUGGAGACUCGCCUUAAAGUAAUUGGCAGCCGGCCUACUGGUUUCGGAGCGCAGCACAAGUCGCACUCUCUAUCAGCAAAGGUCUAGCAUCCAUUAAGCCUUUUUUUCAACUUUUGACCUCGGAUCAGGUAGGGAUACCCGCUGAACUUAAGCAUAUCAAUAA